GAGUUGUAGUCAUUUGUUUGAUGUAGGGAUGCAUGUGAUGACUUGUAUGAUCGAUUAGCGAAUCAUUGUGUUUGCCUAAUGAUUUCAUUGAUGUUAUAAUGAAUUAACACGAUUGAAUGCCUAUGAAUAUGCAUUUGUUGAGUUUAUAAUGUUUUGUGUUAUUUUUUGAAUGUCAUAACAUUGAUUAAUUGUUGUGUAUGGUGAACAAUGUUAUACAUAAUGAUGAUAAAUGCAUG
rnacentral:lncRNA from 1 species